rnacentral:rRNA from 1 species
GGGGGCAACCCUGAUCCAGCAAUGCCGCGUGUGUGAAGAAGGCCUUCGGGUUGUAAAGCACUUUUGUCCGGAAAGAAAUCGCGCUGGUUAAUACCUGGCGUGGAUGACGGUACCGGAAGAAUAAGCACCGGCUAACUACGUGCCAGCAGCCGCGGUAAUACGUAGGGUGCGAGCGUUAAUUGGAAUUACUGGGCGUAAAGCGUGCGCAGGCGGUUUUGUAAGACAGGCGUGAAAUCCCCGGGCUUAACCUGGGAAUUGCGCUUGUGACUGCAAGGUUAGAGUGCGUCAGAGGGGGGUAGAAUUCCGCGUGUAGCAGUGAAAUGCGUAGAGAUGUGGAGGAAUACCGAUGGCGAAGGCAGCCCCCUGGGACGUGACUGACGCUCAUGCACGAAAGCGUGGGGAGCAAACAGGAUUAGAUACCCUGGUAGUCCACGCCCUAAACGAUGUCAACUAGUUGUUGGGGAUUCAUUUUCUCAGUAACGUAGCUAACGCGUGAAGUUGACCGCCUGGGGAGUACGGUCGCAAGAUUAAAACU